GCCUGACUUGCGUGGGAUUCUGGGUAUUCAAACCACAUUCGCUCACUCGCUGACUUAUUACAGUGAAGGCCCCGGGGGAGAGAGAGCGGACACCUCUGACCAACCUACUCCCCCCCCCCUCCCCAACUCUUUUGAAUUAUUGAAAUCGCCUCAUAUGGGAUUCACAGUCAUUUUUUUCUUUCUGCUUACCUCAGGUUUUUGAUGUAAUAUCUCUGUCUCACAGAGGUACAAGCUUAUGAAUCUUCUCUGGUUUGAAAUAGACGCAGGGCAGGGGUGGAGAAGUGAAGGUGAGGUGGGUGGGGGUGAGAGAUUGGGGUGCCCUCACAGCCAGCCUGUCAGGAGUGAGGCAGAGAUGGAGAUCUGUUUUUAAACCAGUGAGGCUGAAAUUCCACAGCGACGGGUCUGGCUGAUGUUAUGAAGCUGAGAAUCGUCCUCCCACUCCCAGAAGAUGUGUCGGGUUUUUCUGAGGGGCUGUCUUUAUUUCCACAGAAUGAACAGAGAGAACAACGUGGUUUGGGCAAAAAGAACUUCCCCAGUGAAGUGAACUUACUCUGAUUAAAGUCGCUGGCAUAUAGUCACGUUAUAUCAAACAAACCCACGCAAGGCUUUGGCUGCUGAUGUUUCCGAUGGAUUACAUCCUCUUCAAAGAAAUAGUACAGAUUGUCUGAUUACCAUGUUGUUUCUGACAAUCAAAAAUACAUUUUCUAUUUAUUGCAACUGAGGAUGUGGUGAAGGUUUUGGAGGGCGGAUCUCAGAGUGAAGCUGAAGCAGAGAUUGAAACGUGAUUGGAUAAAGUUGGGCUCAUGUCGUCAUCUUUUUCAAAAGGUUCAGUAUUCCACUGUCUACACAGCGUUGUAAAAUGCUGUUAUCGUGUGGACGAAAGGGCGGAAAAAAAAACACAACAAAACGCUUCAGACAAACUCACCAUUGUCAUGUGGACGGGGUCUCUCCCAACCCGCAGGCAUUUCCACCCGCUUUGUCUAAUCAUGUUCCGGCAGAAAAGCUGGUCCAUGAAAAUCACUACACCUUGUCAAGCAUCUCUAAAUCCUGAAAUGUUUUAACAGAGAAGGCUAAAUAAAUUACAAGCAUCAGGCCAAAGUGGUAACGCUUUAUCAAAAGAAAGUUUAUGAGGCCUGGCCAUCUCUAUUUUCUGCACUAGCUUAUGUGGCAUUAGCAGGAGAUAAGCAGAACUGGACUGUUUGAAAGAGGCCGAGGCCUGUGUUCAUCAAGCACCAAGCUGACUCGAAUGAUUUGGGAUCAGGCCUUUGAUGACCAUACCCAAAUAAUUAACCCAGCUGAGAGCUGUUACCAGUUAAACUCACCUAUUCUAAGGACAACAAGCAGCGCUCACAAAUGACAAAUGAUUUCAUCUCAUGCAGAGACUGUCUUGAACAACAUCAUAACAGAGCCUGAAAUGUAUCAGUAUCCCUUUAAAGGCAAUCAUUUCCUUAAGGUGGAAGAAAAAAAUCCAGAUCAAUUCAAACACUCCUGUCUAU
ensembl:lncRNA